AGAUUCCUCACCCCCAAUGUUUGAGCAUAACUGGGAGCAACCAAGUACAACAAUGGCUUCAGUUUUUACACAUUAGGGGACUGAAGACGGAAUACUGAAAUGGCCUGACUGGAGAUGAUCUGGCAGCAGGUGUAUGUCCACAUCGGACAGGCUGAAAAGCCUUUGAAAGCAGGAAGAAGCUGAAUCAGUACACACACUAAUCAGUAAGUGUUCAACGAGAGUUGGGAAAGCCAAAAAUAAAUCAGAAGCUGAAAGCACAAUACUCAUCGGAAAACGGGCAAUUCUAAAUAGCAUCGAAACAUCAUCACCUACAGUUUAGAGAUACAGCAUGGAAACAGCCCCAUCGGCCCAUCAAGUCUAAGCUGACCAUCGAUCAUCCAUUCACAGCUGUUCUGUUAUCCCUGCUUUCUCAUCCACACCUCUCAUACUAAGGGGCAAUUUUCAGAGGCCAAUUAACUAGCAAACCCGCACGUCUUUGGGAUGUGGAUUGAAACCUGGGCACCAGGAGGAAACCCACGUGAUUACAUGGAGAACAUGUAAACUUCACACAGGCAGCACCUGAGGUGGGUCUCUGGUGCCAUGAGCUAGCCGCUCCACUGUGCUGCCCUUGGGAAAUGUUCCCAUUAACAGUACCAUGUAAAUACAAUCUGUAAUUACAGAUAUAGAGAACAUUAUAGAGAAUUACAUUGCAAAGUUACUCAAAUCGUAAGAGAAAAAGUAUCAGAAAGACUUAUAACCAUCAUCAUGCACAUUAACUAAAAUAAGAAAUGAAUACUUGAAACUCAUAAAAUCAAUAAAUGAAUUAAAAAAUGAAAUGUAAUAUUGAGUUUCUUCUCAACCACAUUAUAAAAUGAACAGUGCAACAGCAGCAAUAUUUAAUGACUCCAACCUGUUUAAAUGGAUGUAACAUUUGCAAGGAGUUAAAAAGUGAUUGUUUUUCUUGUAAAAAUGUAUAGACAUUUUCCCUUUUACAUUGGUAGUUUAGCACAUCAUUCCAGCUCAUCAGUGUUUGAAGUAUUUCCAGCUUUGUGUCCAUCACUGAGUGGCGAUUAUCAAUGAGUACAUCUCACAUCAGGGGUUUCAAAACUCUCAUCAUUACGCAGAGAUUCAAAACUGCUGAUGUGGCUUUGGUGCCUAAAAACAUUGAUGAAGUGGUUAUUGCUGAGAAAUUGAUGCUGAAAUUGCUGCGUCUACCAAAACACAGUGAUCGAACACAAUUCAGUACAGUGUCCUUUCAAUGAUCCGUGUAAUCUAAUUAGGAAGAAGAAUGAUAACACAGGCCUAAUGGGCCUUGUGAAAAAUAAGAUUGUCUAAUGCUACAUUUACCUUACAGCACUGUCCCUACUAUGUCAAUUCUGAUUGCAGCUGCAGCAUUGUGGUGCUAAUGAUGUGGCACUGCUGCCUUUUGUGGCAUAGAAUCCCAAUCAAGAUAUGUUUCUCGCUCACACUAUUGGAAAUACAG